rnacentral:rRNA from 1 species
AUUGAACGCUGGCGGCAGGCCUAACACAUGCAAGUCGAGCGAGCGGCGGACGGGUGAGUAAUGUAGGGGGAUCUGCCCGAUAGAGGGGGAUAACUACUGGAAACGGUGGCUAAUACCGAAUAAUACCGGAAGAAACCAUAUGGGAUUAGAGAGAAGGUGGGGUAAAGGCUCACCUAGGCGACGAUCUCUAGCGGGGCUGAGAGGAUGAUCAGCCACACGGGGACUGAGACACGGCCCAUACUCCUACGGGAGGCAGCAGUGGGGAAUAUUGCACACUGGGGGCAAGCCUGAUGCAGCCAUGCCGCGUGUAUGAAGAAGGCCUUAGGGUUGUAAAGUACUUUCAGCUGGGAGGCGUUACCCGCAGAAGAAGCACCGGCUAACUCCGUGCCAGCCGCCGCGGUAAUUC